rnacentral:tRNA from 1 species
UGGAUCACCUCCUAACAGGGAGACAACAACUGAUUGUGAUGUCUGAGUGACUAAUUCUUAGGCCAUGAUCUUGUCACCUUAGGUCGAUCGGUACCUCAAGUUAAUAAUCAAAGCCAGGCUGAGUAAUUGGUUUGGAGAUUGAUGAUUAAUUUUAGUUCCUAAACUUGUCUAGGUCACACUCCGCAAAGAUUACUCCUGGGCCAUUAGCUCAGGUGGUUAGAGCGCACCCCCGAUAAGGGUGAGGUCCCUGGUUCAAGUCCAGGAUGGCCCAUUCGGUGUUGGGGGUUUAGCUCAGUUGGUAGAGCGCCUGCUUUGCAAGCAGGAUGUCAGCGGUUCGAGUCCGCUAACCUCCACUUACACUGAUUUCGGAUAAAGAUUCAAUGGUGAGGAUCAUUGUGUGUGUGAUUUAGAAUUGAAGUUUGCUGGAAGAUCCUAGCUUCCUAUCAUUCCAGACCUAAAUAAAUUUAGGUGAGGUUGACAGGACGCUGGGCUCACUGUAAUUCGAGAGGAUUACAGAGAUGUUCGGCAGAACCUUGACAACCGCAUAGAUAAGUCUGGAAAGAAUAAAGCAUCUCAUGGAGGCGUAAUUCUUGUUGCUUUGCUGAUGUGAUCUGCGUUAGCAGAUGGCUGAGGUUUAUGAACUGGAAUUAUGCUUGAUUCUUGAGUUAAGAGCCGAGACUCUAUGGCGUUCUCUUGAUAUCAUUCCGAUGUCAAGAGUUUGAUUGGUUCAUUCAAUCUAUCUACCAUAUUAGGCAUUCAAGGAAACUUGAUGUUUGAGAUUGAGAUCAGAUGAAUGAUCAAGAACACGUGUUCAACAACGUGAGACGUUAUAGAGAUGAAUUGGUCAAGCUACAAAGGGCUCAUGGUGGAUACCUUGGCACACAGAGGCGAUGAAGG